AAUCACCGGAUGCACCUAAAAUAUUGUGUUCUCUCCGACUAGAAAAUUGGAUGCGUGCCGUUAGAACAUCCAAACUGGCCUUGCCCAACUUUGGAGACGCAAAAUCACUGUUGUAGCAGUGUAGCACACUGUAGCGUUUCGUUUGUAUUUGUGAAUUAUUAUCCAAAUAUUGACUAAUUAGGCUUAAAAGAUUCGUCUCGCAAAGUACAACAAAACUGUGCAAUUAGUUUUUGAUUUCGUCUACAUUUAGUACUCCAUGCAUGUACCGCAAGUUUGAUGUGAUGGAGAAUCUUCUUUUUCAUAGUGUCAAAGUUAGGAGUUUGGAGGGAACUAAACAUGGCCUAAGUUGUUUUUUUGUCCGUGGGAUAUCAUCAAAACUUGGAUUUGUGCAGCACACAAUGCACUCUUUGAGAGGUUGCCUGGUAAAUGAACGAUUUUGCCCUCGCUUCGUUUUGUGGUUGCAGUGCAGCGGUCGCUUUGCUUCCUCG
rnacentral:lncRNA from 1 species